GAUGAACGCUGGCGGCGUGCCUAACACAUGCAAGUCGAGCGAAGCGCCUUACUUGAUUUCUUCGGGAUGAAAGUAUUGUGACUGAGCGGCGGACGGGUGAGUAACGCGUGGAUAACCUGCCUCAUACAGGGGGAUAACAGUUAGAAAUGACUGCUAAUACCGCAUAAGACCACAGCACCGCAUGGUGCAGGGGUAAAAACUCCGGUGGUAUGAGAUGGAUCCGCGUCUGAUUAGCUAGUUGGUAAGGUAAUGGCUUACCAAGGCAACGAUCAGUAGCCGACCUGAGAGGGUGACCGGCCACAUUGGGACUGAGACACGGCCCAA
rnacentral:rRNA from 1 species